AUUGAACGCUGGCGGCAGGCCUAACACAUGCAAGUCGAGCGAGCGGCGGACGGGUGAGUAAUGUCUGGGAAACUGCCUGAUGGUGGGGGAUAACUACUGGAAACGGUAGCUAAUACCGCAUACCAUCAGAUGUGCCCAGAUGGGAUUAGCUAGUAGGUGGGGUAACGGCUCACCUAGGCGACGAUCCCUAGCUGGUCUGAGGGGAUGACCCGCCACACUUGACCUGAGACACGGGCCAGACUCCUACGGCAGGAAGCAGUGGGGAAUAUGGCACAAUGGGCGCAAGCCUGAUGCAGCCAUGCCGCGUGUGUGAAGAAGGCCUUCGGGUUGUAAAUCACUUGCAGCGGGGAGGCGUUACCCGCAGAAGAAGCACCGGCUAACUCCGUGCCAGCCGCCGCGGUAAUAC
rnacentral:rRNA from 1 species